ensembl:lncRNA
UGUGAGUCAGUCUUCAGUUCAGGUAGAAUCUGCUGUGAAGGUGCUUCUCUUGUUUAAAUCAAUAGGCUUGUCAUUCUGAGCGGCAUCCUUUUUUCUUCAGCAAGCCCAACUCUUACACACUGAGAGUGUAGAAGUGUGUGUGUGCCAGCUGUGAACAUGUACAGCAGGGACUGCUGGUCAGUGCAGCAGCUUUCAUCAGCCUAGAAAGAGAGGGAAGGGCUUUUGUCAGUGAGUUUGCCUCCCUUUUGGCUCCGUACACGCAGAAGCUUUAAGAGGGAGAAACCUCUGUGCUGGGUUCAGUUCCUUUCUUUCCCCCCUCUUUUGUUUGUGAUAGUACUUCACACAGCAUGGCAGUUGUUUAUCUGAAGUUGGUAGAAGGUUCCGGAGCUUGUGUGGUUAAGGAUACUAGGGCAGUUCCACAUAUUCAUACUUGUUCCUGCAGGACUUAAUGGUUUUCCAUUCAUCUCAAUGCCAGUAGCUUGGCCGGUGCAGGACAGCCCAGAAUUUUGUGUAUCUUUGCUUUUUCACUUUAGAUUUUUUUUUUUUUUUUUGCACCAAUAAGCUGAGCUGUAAAUGCCAUGUGACUAAUGGCUCUGAAGUGUCAUGUGUCAUGUUAGUGCUGAUUGGCUGAUGGCAGUGUGAGUAUUUGCACAGUCAUCAGCUGGGGCUUCAAAGGCAGCAGACAAGGAGAAAUAUAAGUCCAUUUCAUGGUUUAAACAGCCGUCCAAAGAAAGCCUUUCUGUCUCUCUCAUCCCCUCUUUCAAAAAUCUCAUGGAGAGGUUCAAGUCUGCUGGAUGUUGGCGAUGGUGUCUGCAUCAGUGAAGGACACCUCAAUAACAACUCCAUUGAUAUCUACAGUACACCUACUGCUGCACCAGAGAUGAAGAGACAGAGAUGUCAGGACCUUUACAUGGCAAUUUGCUUGGUAUGCACAUGCACUUGAGUCAGCUUCAUUCUCCGCUUUGAUUUGACACCAAUGCAUCAUCCAUUUAAUGAUAUUAAGUAUUUUCCAUUAGUUUUAAUUGUGUCAUGUUUUGUUUCGGCAUGUUGUUUCUUAAGCUGGACAGCCCACCUUCUUCAAAGAGCCCUGCCCUGCCAUCAUGGCGGUCACUCUGAUUGGCACCAAUGACGGCAACUCUCGAAUGGUGAGGUUACCAUGGCAACAGGGGGGUCCCUAGGGGCAAAAGCGGUACUGAAACGAAAAAUGAGUCAUCUGUUGAUUAGGUUAGGAAGUGCAUUUUAACCUUUUGCCAGUUCUUUGCCUGCUUUCAUUUGUAAGCAAAACGACAGCGGAAGCUGAAGAGCUUUAGAUUGUGUUUACCAUUGAUCAGUGAGUUGAUGGACCGUUUUUAGUUCCUUGGUCUUGACAGUCAGUUAUAUUUAACACAUUCUGUGAGCUUGUUAAUUAACACACAGUCGUGUAUCUGCCCUACUGUGCAGCCUGUAUGUGAACAGCUACAGUUAACUGUGCAUGUGUGUGUGUGUGGAGUGUGUAUUCACCUAAAGGAAGACUCACCUCUGAUUUAGCUCCUGUUUGACUCCAGUUAGAGCUCAGACAGUGUGUGAUAUUUACUGAAGCGCUUGGGUUGACCUAGGUGAUGCCGGGUCGGUGGUGUGUGUGUGCCGGUGUUAAUUGGGGGUGAAGUGGCAGUGUGAGAGGAAAAGGGAGGUGUUGAUGUGUGGACGUGUGUGGUGGUGAAAGCAAGCCACAGGUGACAUGACGCUUCUGUGACUGGAGAUGUACAUCCAGUUCAAUCCACGGUCUCGCCACAAUUACUGUUUUCUGUUCUGUUAUCUCUCUUUCUCUCAGUCUCUCUCACUGUCUUUUACACCUAUUCAGGCUUUCAAAGCGCUAAAGUGGGUGUUUGUGUUGUUCAGGUGACUGCCCAUAACAGCCAGUGUCCUGGCACUACUUCUGGAGGUCAAAUAGAUACAUAGCCAUU